rnacentral:lncRNA from 1 species
ACAAAUAAUAUAAAAACUAUGGGUCACAGAGAUUCACUUUAUUAAGUUAGGGACAGAAGUUUCUUAACAAUUUUUUUCUUUGAUUGAUGUACAUAAUGAAGAAAGGACAGAAGAACGAAUUCUCUGCUCUCUUGGCCAAGAAUUGAAGCAAAUCGCAGAGUGGAGUGGAGACUAUUAAAUGGGUGUUGAAAUUAACAAAAUUUGUACGAUAUUAAAUGAAUUGCAUUUCUAUCCCUUCUCAAAAGCAGGGGAUUGGCUAAAUGGUCCUGCCUUGAAGCUCUCUCCCAUUCUCAAACCCAGACAACAUCCUUUUCAUAAGGAGCAAGAAACUUUGCAGUCACAGGUUAGGUCCAGAUGCAGGAGCUCUUCCAGGCGGAAGCUGUCCCUUCCCACCCCUUACAGUUCUUAUUGUUCAUGUUGCUCCACAGACGUUUCCGAGCAGCGACUGGCCUGGCCUCUGGGUGGUUCCCUGCGGGGGAGGCGCAACUCUUUGGGGACGUUAGGAGCGGGGUGGCGAAAGGGCAUAGCCGGUGUGGCGGGGAGCCUGGACAGAGGGUAGAGGGGAAAGCACACGUGGGGGAGACGUGGAAGGGACGGCCCACUCCGAGAGCGUGGGACCGCAGCCGGGACGCUGGCGCCGCCGAGCAGCCCACCUCCACUCGUCCCGGCCCGAGGGCGCUCGCAGCACCCCCGCCCGGCCGCGCGCGGGCGACUCCACC